AGUGAACGCUGGCGGUAGGCCUAACACAUGCAAGUCGAACGGCAGCACAGUAAGAGCUUGCUCUUCCGGGUGGCGAGUGGCGGAAGGGUGAGGAAUACAUCGGAAUCUACUUUUUCGGGGGGGAUCACGUAGGGAAACUUACGCUCAUAUCGCAUACGACCUACGGGUGAAAGCAGGGGAUAUUCUGACCUUGCGCGAUUGAAUGCGCCGAUGUCGGAUUAGCUAGUUGGCGGGGUAAUGACCAACCAAGUCGCCGAUCCGUAGCUGGUCUGAGAGGACGAUCAGCGACACUGGAACUGAGACACGGUCCAUACGCCUACGGGAGGCAGCAGUGUGGAAUGUGAGGCAAUGGGCGCGAGCCUUAUCCAGCCAUACCGCGUGUGAGAAAAAGGCCUUCGGUUUGUAAAGCCCUUUUGUUGGUAGAGAAAAGCAGCAGGUUGAUACGCCGCUGUUCUGACGGUACCCAAAGAAUAAGCACCGGCUAACUACGUG
rnacentral:rRNA from 1 species